GAGUCAAUGAUGAUACUUAAACUUGUCUUGAAAGAGAUGAUGGCAUAAAAAUCAUGCUCCAUAGGAUUACACUGAGGCUC